UACGUAGGAUCCAAGCGUUGUCCGGAUUUACUGGGUGUAAAGGGCGUGUAGGUGGGCCUUUAAGUCGAUGGUGAAAUCCUGCAGCUUAACUGCAGAACUGCUUUCGAUACUGGAGGUCUUGAGUGCGGCAGAGGGAGACGGAAUUCAUGGUGUAGCGGUGAAAUGUGUAGAUAUCAUGAAGAACACCGGUUGCGAAGGCGGUCUCCUGGUCCGUUACUGACACUGAGGCGCGAAAGCGUGGGUAGCAAACAGG
rnacentral:misc_RNA from 1 species